rnacentral:rRNA from 1 species
AUUGAACGCUGGCGGCAGGCCUAACACAUGCAAGUCGAGCGAGCGGCGGACGGGUGAGUAAUGUAUGGGAAACUGCCUGCUGGCAGGGGAUAACUACUGGAAACGGUAGCUAAUACCCCCUAUCAUCAGAUGUGACCAGAUGGGAUUAGGUAGUUUGUGGGGUAAAGACGUACCAAGGCGCGGCUCUGUAGCGGGUCUGAGAGGAUGAUCCGCCACACUGGGAUGGAGACACGGCCCAGACUCCUAAGGGGGACAGCAGUGGGGAAUAUGGGACAAUUGGGGGAAACCUGAUCCAACCAAGCCGCGUGUGUGAGUAAGGCCUUAUGGUUGGAAAGCACUUUAAGCGAGGAGGCGUUACUCGCAGAAUAAGCACCGGCUAACUCUGUGCCAGCAGCCGCGGUAAUAC